GAGUAGUACAGUUCCAGCGGCCAUACGAGACACACGUGUCGACGACUACGCUAAGGCAGUUGGAAAAAAAAGAAGAAGAAGAAGAAGAAGAAGAAGAAGAAGAAAAAGAACAUAAAAAGAGAAACGAGGACUCGAUAAGAAGGAUCAUCGAGAAUAAUCGUAGGAAAUAAGUUUUUAAUUACAAUCGUACUCAAGAAUAAAUCGUUGUAACGUUCAUCUUACAAUGGUCUAACGAUAAACUAAAAGAUUCGGAAUUCUCGUCUAUGUGUUUAUAGUCAUUGAGUCAAGUUAACUACGACUACGAAA
rnacentral:misc_RNA from 1 species